rnacentral:snRNA from 1 species
CUACUUACCUGGCAGGGGAGAUACCAUGAUCACGAGGGUGGUUUUCCCAAGGCGAGGCUUAUCCAUUACACUCCAGAUGUGCUGACUCCUGCGAUUUCCCCAAAUGUGGAAAACUGGACUGCAUAAUUUGUGGUAGUGGGAGACUGCGCUUGUGCUCUCCCCUG